rnacentral:rRNA from 1 species
UACGUAGGGUGCAAGCGUUAAUCGGAAUUACUGGGCGUAAAGCGUGCGCAGGCGGUUUUGUAAGACUGUCGUGAAAUCCCCGGGCUUAACCUGGGAAUGGCGAUGGUGACUGCAAGGCUAGAGUUUGGCAGAGGGGGGUAGAAUUCCACGUGUAGCAGUGAAAUGCGUAGAUAUGUGGAGGAACACCGAUGGCGAAGGCAGCCCCCUGGGCUGAGAUUGACGCUCAGGCACGAAAGCGUGGGGAGCAAACAGG